GAAGAUGACGAGAAACAGAUGAAGUUGAUUAAAUAUUUUGGAACACUAAACAGUCAUGACCAUGAAAGACCCAUUGGAAAAUAAAAGACUUGUGUGGGAUAUAACAAAUCAGCCUUUUCAGAUCAGUGGCAGGUUAUUUUUGGAGAGACGAUGCUUCUGUUAAGUGUUGAUUUCCACACACCAACUUCUUACUCACAUCCGUUGUGCCAUUAGCCCACAGUGGGUCCAAGCAGAAGUGAUUCAAGAUUCAAGGGUUUAUUGUCAUAUGCACAACAAUUACAUUCAGCAGUUGCUGGCAAUGAAAUGCUCCCCUCUAGCCUUGCUCAG
rnacentral:misc_RNA from 1 species